rnacentral:rRNA from 1 species
UAGGGAAUCUUCGGCAAUGGACGAAAGUCUGACCGAGCAACGCCGCGUGAGUGAAGAAGGUUUUCGGAUCGUAAAACUCUGUUGUUAGAGAAGCACAAGGACGUUAGUAACUGAACGUCCCCUGACGGUAUCUAACCAGAAAGCCACGGCUAACUACGUGCCAGCAGCCGCGGUAAUACGUAGGUGGCAAGCGUUGUCCGGAUUUAUUGGGCGUAAAGCGAGCGCAGGCGGUUUCUUAAGUCUGAUGUGAAAGCCCCCGGCUCAACCGGGGAGGGUCAUUGGAAACUGGGAGACUUGAGUGCAGAAGAGGAGAGUGGAAUUCCAUGUGUAGCGGUGAAAUGCGUAGAUAUAUGGAGGAACACCAGUGGCGAAGGCGGCUCUCUGGUCUGUAACUGACGCUGAGGCUCGAAAGCGUGGGGAGCAAACAGG